rnacentral:rRNA from 1 species
CUACGGGGGGCUGCAGUGGGGGAUCUUGCACAAUGGAGGAAACUCUGAUGCAGCGAUGCCGCGUGAGUGAAGAAGGCCCUUGGGUUGUAAAGCUCUUUUGUCGGGAAAGAUAAUGACUGUACCCGAAGAAUAAGGUCCGGCUAACUUCGUGCCAGCAGCCGCGGUAAUACGAAGGGACCUAGCGUAAUUCGGAAUUACUGGGCGUAAAGCGCGCGUAGGCGGUUAAGUAAGUUAAUUGUGAAAGCCCAAAGCUCAACUUUGGAAUUGCAAUUAAAACUACUUAGCUAGAGUUUAUCAGAGGAAAGCGGAAUACAUAGUGUAGAGGUGAAAUUCGCAGAUAUUAUGUAGAACACCAGUUGCGAAGGCGGCUUUCUGGGAUAACACUGACGCUGAGGUGCGAAAGUAUGGGUAGCGAAGAGGAUUAGAUACCCCUGUAGUC